AACGAACGCUGGCGGCAUGCCUAACACAUGCAAGUCGAACGAGACCUUCGGGUCUAGUGGCGCACGGGUGCGUAACGCGUGGGAACCUGCCCUUAGGUUCGGAAUAACUCCCCUAAAGGGGUGCUAAUACCGGAUAAUGUCUUCGGACCAAAGAUUUAUCGCCUUUGGAUGGGCCCGCGUUGGAUUAGCUAGUUGGUAGGGUAAAAGCCUACCAAGGCGACGAUCCAUAGCUGGUCUGAGAGGAUGAUCAGCCACACUGGGACUGGGACACGGCCCAGACUCCUACGGGAGGCAGCAGUGGGGAGUAUUGGACAAUGGGCGAAAGCCUGAUCAAGCAAUGCCGCGUGAGUGAUGAAGGCCUUAGGGUUGUAAAGCUCUUUUACCCGGGAUGAUAAUGACAGUACCGGGAGAAUAAGCUCCGGCUAACUCCGUG
rnacentral:rRNA from 1 species